GUGAGCCGGUGAGCGGCUGCCGGGCCAAUGGCCUGAGGAAACUCCAUCCACCGUGCAGGACCGCGACGCUGUGAGGCGUAGGGGGAGACCCCUGGCAACGGACAGAAACGAUACCUCCCGUGGCAUGCUUUGACGCCUUGGAGGCCGAGGACGCUACGGGUUUGGGUGAGACGGCUGACCCAGCGGGGUGAAAGGGCGAAUAGGGGUCCGACGACCUCCUGCGGUAGGACCCGGGUAGCCCGUAUAGCUGAAUGCCGCUUAGAACAGAAGGUGGGUUACGGCCGGCACAC
rnacentral:RNase_P_RNA from 2 species